rnacentral:rRNA from 1 species
AUACGGAGGGUGCAAGCGUUGUACGGAAUUACUGGGCGUAAAGCGCGUGCAGGCGGUAAGGUAAGUCAGAUGUGAAAGCCCCGGGCUCAACCCGGGAAGUGCAUUUGAUACUGCCUUUCUUGAGUAUGGGAGAGGAGAGUGGAAUUCCCAGUGUAGAGGUGAAAUUCGUAGAUAUUGGGAGGAACACCCGUGGCGAAGGCGACUCUCUGGACCAAUACUGACGCUGUGACGCGAAAGCGUGGGGAGCGAACAGGAUUAGAAACCCCUGUAGUCC